UUCCUGGUGUGAGAGGAGGGUCCUCUAGUAGAUCUUUGGUGGAAGUUCUUGAUGCCAUUUGAGUGUUGGUAGUAAAGGAUAGUGGUGGAGAGAAGUAGAAGAUAGAAUAACCAAGAUAAUCAAUUAUGCAGAAAAAGAGGUUUCUUGAGAACUGAGUCGACCGAAUUCCAAGAGGAUAUGCGCAGACCUAAGCAGCGAAGAGUCGACUCAUGGGGCGAUGUUGUCGGACCCAAAAUAAAUGCAAUCCCAGUAUUGGGCAGAGAAGAGUCGACUCAUGCGUGUGAUGAGUCGACACAUUGAUGUUUGAAAACCCAAAAAGUAGAUAUGGG
rnacentral:lncRNA from 1 species